ACUGGUCUGAGAGGAUGAUCAGUCACACUGGAACUGAGACUACGGUCCAGACUCCUACGGGAGGUCAGUCAGUGGGGAAUAUUGCACAAUGGGCGAAAGCCUGUAUGUCAGCAACGCCGCGUGGAGGAUGUACACAUUUUCGGUGCGUAGAACUCCUAUUUCAUAUAGGAAGAUUAUCGACGGUACUAUAUGACAUAAGCACCGGCUAACUCCGUGCCAGCAGUCCGUCGGUAAUACGGAGGGUGCUAAGCGUCUACUCGGACAUCACUGGCGCGUACAAGAGCGUGUAGGCUGUUUUAUAAGUCACGAAGUGAAAUCCUAUAGCUUAACUAUAGUAACUGCUUUUGAAACUGUUUAACUAGAGUGUGGGAGAGGCAGAUGGAAUUUCUGGUGUAGGGGUAAAAUCCGUAGAUAUCAGAAGGAAUACCGAUUGCGAAGGCGAUCUGCUGGAACAUUACUGACGCUGAGACGCGAAAGCGUGGGGAGCAAACAGGAUUAGAUACCCUGGUAGUCCACGCCCUAAACUAUGUACACUAGUUGUUGUGGUGCUAGUCACUGCAGUAAUACAGUUAACACAUUAAGUGUACCGCCUGGGGAGUACGCUCGCAAGAUUAAACUCAAAGGGAUAGACGGGGACCCGCACAAGCGGUGGAGCAUGUGGUUUAAUUCGUAGAUACGCGAAGAACCUUACCUGGCCUUGACAUUGAUAGAAUCCUGUAGAGAUACGGGAGUGCCGGUCUUGCCGGAACUUGAAAACAGGUGCUGCACGGCUGUCGUCAGCUCGUGUCGUGAGAUGUUGGGUUAAGUCCCGCAACGAGCGCAACCCACGUCCUUAGUUGCCAGCAUUUCGGAUGGGAACUCUAAGGAGACUGCCUUCGCAAGGAGGAGGAAGGUGUGGACGACGUCAAGUCAUCAUGGCCCUUACGGCCAGGGCUACACACGUGCUACAAUGGGGUGUACAAAGAGUAGCAAUACCGCGAGGUGGAGCAAAUCUCAAAAACGCCUCCCAGUUCGGAUUGUAGUCUGCAACUCGACUACAUGAAGUCGGAAUCGCUAGUAAUCGUAGAUCAGCAAUGCUACGGUGAAUACGUUCCCGGGUCUUGUACUCACCGCCCGUCACACCAUGGGAGUUGAAUUCACCCGAAGCGGGGAUGCUAAAGUAGCUACCUUCCACGGUGAU
rnacentral:rRNA from 1 species